ACGAACGCUGGCGGCUGCUUAACACAUGCAAGUCGAACGGAGCGGCGAACGGGUGAGUAACGCGUGAGCAACCUGCCUAUGACAGUGGGAUAGCCUCGGGAAACCGGGAUUAAUACCGCAUAGUCAUAGAUGGGCUCGCGUCUGAUUAGCUAGUUGGUGAGAUAACAUCCAACCAAGGCGACGAUCAGUAGCCGGUCUGAGAGGAUGAACGGACACAUUGGAACUGGGACACGGUCCAAACUCAUACGGGAGGCAGCAGUGGGGAAUAUGGCACAAUGGGGGAAACCCUGAUGCAGAGACGCCGCGAGAACGAAGAAGGUAUUCGUAUCGUAAAGUUCUGUCCUAUGGGAAGCAGUACCAUAGAAGAAAGCUCCGGCUAAAUACGUGCCAGCAGCCGCGGUAAUUC
rnacentral:rRNA from 1 species